CUUUCCACUUGAGAAUGUGGGCAAAGGAGAGGUUAUAUUCUUAGAGUGUAGUUAGGUUGAUUCCAUUAGUACAUACAGUAAUAGAAAGCUAUCAACGUAUAAAAAGGAAGAAGAGUAGAUAGGAAUGCUGUGGGGUCACUGGAAAACGAACUGUUAUUCAAAGUUUGUUUAUCUUUCACUGUCUUUGUCCUUGAUUAUCGUUUCGAUUUUUGUUGGGCACCGCACCCUUGUUUGAUUGAUCCCAAUUAUUAUCGAAGUUUGCUGGCUUUGCUGACUAUUGGAUUUGUCUGCUUUUACCCUUUUUACUUAACACCAGAAAAUCAUGACACCUCGCUUUCUGUUUCUGGGUCACACUUUGCACAUUUUAUUCUUGCUUUCAGUUAAAUCCGUCCAAUUCUUGAUUUUGGAUUUGGGAAUUUUUUAUUUGCAACAUAAACUGAAUGGGUUUCUGAGAAACAAUCAAACAAUUUGAAUUUAUCUGAGAUGAAGGAUGUGGGAAAGAGAGUUGUGGUUGUUGCUGUGAAAGCUUCAAGAGAUAUUUCAAGAAGUGCUUUUAUUUGGGCAUUAACUCAUGUGGUUCAACCUGGAGAUUCUGUUAAGUUGCUGGUUCUCAUUCCUAAUCAUACCUCAAGUAUAAAGCUUUGGGGUUUACGUAGAUUUAACAGUGAUUGCACGGCUAGCAACUGGAGAUCACUGUCUGGAACGACUUUAGAUCAAAAGGAUUUCAUUUCAGAAUCGUGUACUCAAAUGUUGCUUCAACUUCAUGAUAUUUAUGAUCCAAAUAAAAUGAAGGUGAAGGUCAAAGUCAUUUCUGGAUCACAGUCUGGAGUAGUAGCUGCUGAAGCUAGGAGAGUUCAGACUCGAUGGGUGGUAUUGGAUAAGAGAAUGAAAAAAGAGGCUAGAAUCUGUAUGGAGCAACUGGAAUGCAAUAUUGUUCAGAUGAAAAACUCUCAACCAAAAGUGCUUCGUUUGAAUUUCCUUGGAUCCCCCAACACUGAAACUGAAGUCUCCCGUACGUCACAAGCAUCUUCGAAACAUUUAGGUGAAAAGUCUGAUGAUCACUGGAAUGAGAUUCGGGUGCCGAAUGUGACUCCAGCAAGUAGUCCAGAGCAUUCAUCGUUCACCACAACUGAUGCUGGGACAUCCUCAAUUUCCAGUCUAGACAUAGGGACUUCUCCUCUUUUCUUCUCAGAGGUCAAUUGGGAUACGAAGAAGACCUUUUCACACAAAAGCAAUCAUUAUUCAGAUGAAUCCGAUUCUGAUACUGAUAGUGAAAAACUGAGUUCACCUACCACAAGCAUAUGCUCCCAGCAAUGGAUGCAAGACAUUCUUGUUGCAGCUAAGGAUUUCUCACAUUACUUAAAGAGAGACUCACCAAGAUCAAAAGGCACACUGCUAAAGUUAAAGCAUGAUGCUUUCCCAGAGAAAUUAUUUGGACUUGAUCGAGAGCCUAAAGUUUGCUCAAAAAAAAAGGGCAUGAUGUGGAAAUAAACAGUAAUAUGAGAAAAAUGAUGUUAUUAAACAAAAGUUCUCCCGCUGAUCCUCCUCCACUUUGUUCAAUAUGUCAACACAAGGCACCUUUAUUUGGAAAACCACCUCGGUGGUUCACUUAUUCUGAGCUCGAACACGCUACCAGUCGAUUUUCACAAGCUAACUUUUUGGCUGAGGGUGGGUAUGGUUCUGUACAUCGUGGACACCUACCAGAUGGCCAAGUCAUAGCAGUCAAGCAAUACAAAUCAGCUAGUUCACAGGGAGACCUUGAAUUUUGCUCUGAAGUGGAGGUCCUGAGCUGUGCUCAACAUCGAAAUGUGGUGAUGCUGAUAGGCUUCUGUGUGGAAGAUGGAAGAAGGUUACUAGUUUAUGAGUACAUCUGCAAUGGCUCUUUAGAUUCUCACCUUUAUGGACGUAAUGGACAUCCAUUAAAUUGGUCAGCACGUCAAAAGAUUGCUGUGGGAGCUGCUCGAGGACUGAGAUACCUGCAUGAGGAGUGCAGAGUAGGUUGUAUUGUUCAUCGUGACAUGCGGCCAAGUAAUAUCCUCCUAACUCAUGAUUUUGAGCCAUUGGUUGGAGACUUUGGGCUGGCAAGGUGGCAACCUGAAGGAAACUUAGGAGUUGAUACCAGAGUAAUUGGAACGUUUGGGUACUUGGCACCGGAAUAUGCUCAAAGUGGUCAAAUAACUGAAAAAGCUGAUGCAUACUCAUUUGGUAUAGUACUAUUGGAACUUGUCACUGGAAGAAAAGCUAUAGACAUUAACCGCCCAAAGGGCCAGCAGUCCCUCAGUGAAUGGGCACGUCCUCUGCUUCGAAAGAGUGCCAUCUCUGAACUCAUCGACCCAUGUCUAGUGAACUGCUGCUUGGAGCAGGAGGUUCGUGGCAUGCUACAUUGUGCUUCAUUAUGCAUUCGCCGAGACCCUAAUUCAAGGCCGAGGAUGUCUCAGGUACUUCGGAUGUUGGAAGGUGACGUGUUAGUGAGCUAGGUUUGUAGUGAACACAAUGCUCUGCAGUUGAUGUUCAAAAGAAGUCGAGCUUGAAAAAGACAAUCGAACCGAGUUAGAAAGGACAUUUCAGAAUAAUGCUCCACCUGUUCUGGACUGCAAGAAGAUGCCACAGGUAGAGAGGUCUCCUAUAUAUGAGACAAGGGGAGCUUACAUGAUAAAAUAACAAUGAUGUCAUGGCCAUUUUUAGUCCUCCCACCAUCAUAUACCAAAUUUUGUUGCACUUCAUGAUCCACAUGCAUGAUAGAAGGUGUAAAGCAGUGAUAAUAUUAAUGUGUUUUUUUUUGUUUGUUUUUUAUGCAUAGUAGAAUUAGGAGACGUUGGAUAUAGGAAUGGCAGUGGAAUUGUAACUUGUCUACAAUCUCUGGAAAUGCAAUGGCAUGGCUUGAUUUCACAGUUUCUUGAA